rnacentral:rRNA from 1 species
UGAGCAAUCUGCCCUUCUCAUCGGAAUAAGCGUUGGAAACGACGUCUAAUGCCGAAUACGACCUCCUUUCGCAUGAUCGGAGGUGGAAAGCUCCGGCGGAGAAGGAUGAGCUCGCGGCCUAUCAGCUAGUUGGUGUGGGUAAUGGCCCACCAAGGCGACGGACGGGUAGCCCGGCCUGAGAGGGUGACCCGGCCACAUUGGAACUGAGACACGGUCCAGACCUCCGUACGGGAGCAG